rnacentral:rRNA from 1 species
UACGUAGGUGGCAAGCGUUUGUCCGGAAUUAUUGGGCGUAAAGCGCGCGCAGGCGGUCUCUUAAGUCUGAUGUGAAAUCUCGCGGCUCAACCGUGAGCGGUCAUUGGAAACUGGGAGACUUGAGUGCAGAAGAGAAGAGCGGAAUUCCACGUGUAGCGGUGAAAUGCGUAGAGAUGUGGGGGAACACCAGUGGCGAAGGCGGCUUCUGGCCCGUUCUU